UACGAAGGGGGCUAGCGUUGCUCGGAAUCACUGGGCGUAAAGCGCACGUAGGCGGGUCUCUAAGUCAGGGGUGAAAUCCUGGAGCUCAACUCCAGAACUGCCUUUGAUACUGGGGAUCUCGAGUCCGGGAGAGGUGAGUGGAACUCCGAGUGUAGAGGUGAAAUUCGUAGAUAUCUGGAGGAACACCGGUGGCGAAGGCGGCAUCCUGGACCAACACUGACGCUGAGGAGCGAAAGCCAGGGGAGCAAACGGG
rnacentral:rRNA from 1 species